GGAACAUCAGGAUCCUACUGCUCUGAUGGCAUCUCGAGCAACUGUCGUCGUAAUGGACUGAUAGUCGGCAUACGCUCCCAUACCCAAAUCUGUAAAUUUUAAAAAUUAAAUAGAUGAUAUAUCCAAUGUAAAAUAUAAUUAAAUAUUAAAAAUAAAAAUUUUUAAUUCAUAUACCUGUAAUAAUACAAGAUAACCAUCAAUC
rnacentral:lncRNA from 1 species